rnacentral:rRNA from 1 species
GACGAACGCUGGCGGCGUGCCUAAUACAUGCAAGUCGAGCGCAGGAAGCUGACAGAACUCUUCGGAGGGAAGGCAGUGGAAUGAGCGGCGGACGGGUGAGUAACACGUAAGGAACCUGCCUCAAGGAUUGGGAUAACUCCGAGAAAUCGGAGCUAAUACCGGAUAGUUCAACGGACCGCAUGGUCCGCUGAUGAAAGGCGCUUCGGCGUCACCUUGAGAUGGCCUUGCGGUGCAUUAGCUAGUUGGUGGGGUAACGGCCCACCAAGGCGACGAUGCAUAGCCGACCUGAGAGGGUGAUCGGCCACACUGGGACUGAGACACGGCCCAGACUCCUACGGGAGGCAGCAGUAGGGAAUCUUCCACAAUGGACGAAAGUCUGAUGGAGCAACGCCGCGUGAGUGAUGAAGGUUUUCGGAUCGUAAAACUCUGUUGUAAGGGAAGAACACGUACGAGAGGGAAUGCUCGUACCUUGACGGUACCUUACGAGAAAGCCACGGCUAACUACGUGCCAGCCGCCGCGGUAAGAC